ensembl:lncRNA novel transcript, antisense to DHH
GUUCCAGCUAAGGCUCUGCCAGUCCGGAGAGCCCCUAUCUCUCCCAUCUCUGCUCUAGAUGCAGCCCAGAAGGGCGUGGGAGUAGCACCUGAGAAUAACGGUCUCCUUGUGCGGAUCUGGGGAGCCCCCUGCAGGGUGGCAACCAGAGGAAAGGGCCACAAUGUUCCACGGCCAAGGAGGAAAGAAGGAAUGCCCCUUUUCCCAUCUCUAGUUCUAACAUUCAAGAUCACUGGCCAGGCUGGAUGAAGUGGCUCACACCUGUAAUCCAGCACUUU